rnacentral:rRNA from 1 species
UACGUAGGGGGCUAGCGUUGUCCGGAAUCAUUGGGCGUAAAGCGCGUGUAGGCGGCCCGGUAAGUCCGCUGUGAAAGUCGAGGGCUCAACCCUCGAAUGCCGGUGGAUACUGUCGGGCUAGAGUACGGAAGAGGCGAGUGGAAUUCCUGGUGUAGCGGUGAAAUUCGUAGAUAUCGGGAGGAACACCGGUGGCGAAGGCGGCGACCUGGGUAGAUACUGACACUGAGGAGCGAAAGUGUGGGGAGCGAACAGG